AGGCAUAUCUACAAAGGCAGCAUUUAACCGUAUUUGACUACAAUUGAAAGUUAAAAAUUGAAAUUUUUGACGGCUGGGUGCAAUGGCUCACACCUGUAAUCCCAGCACUUCGGGAGGCUGAGGUGGGUGGAUCACCUGAGGCCAGGAAUUCGAGACCAGCCUGGGCAACAUGGUGAAGUCCUGUCUCUACUAAAAAUGCGAAAAUUAGCCGGGCUUGAUGGUUCCCAGCUGAGGCACGAGAAUUGCACGAAUCCGGGAGGCAGAGGUUGCAGUGAGCUGAGAUUGCACCAGGCACUCCAGCCUAGGCGACAAAGUGAGACACUGUCUCAAAAAUAAAUAAAUAAAUAAAUAAAUAAAAUUUAGGGGAAUUAAAAACUGGAAAUUAAGUUUUUCAAGUAUACAUCUCUCUAAUAAUAAAAUAACCACUUAAAGUGAAAAAAGGAAAAAAAAGAAUGGUCAACUAGUAGAUCCACUCUAAAAGUAGAGCAUCAAGCAUUAGUAACUCUAAUAAAUAGAAAAUAUGUUUUAGAAUUUGAAAACAUUAGUGAGGCAGAUGGUAUUUUCCAAAGAUGGCUGCACCAAUAUAUUUCAUCCCACAUGUUUUUCUUAUAAUGUGAUGUUGACAUUUCUGCAUUGAGAAAUGGGGACUGAGUUCCCUCUUCUUGAAUCUGGGUGGGCAUUUGUAAUGGCCUCAACCAAUAGAAGACAUCAUAAAUGGUACAAUGUGACCUCAGAAGUUAAGUCAUAAAAAAAUUCAGAUUCUGCUCUGUUUUCUCUUUCUAGGGACAAAUGCUUUUGGAAUCCUGACCUGACAUGAAAAAAGUUCACCUGAAGCUGCCAUCCUGGAAGACUAUGAGAUGGAGAUGCCCAAGAAGCCCCAGGUAUUCCUAAUCCCAAUUGUUUAAGUCUUUCCAGUGUUAACCACCAGAUAUGUGAUGGAUUAAGGACUCCAGAUUAUUCCAGUUCCCAGCUGUCUUAGUCAGGGUUCUCCGGAGAAGUUAUCACAUGAUUACAGAGGCUGGCAAGUCUGACGUCUGCAGGAUAGACCAGCAAGUCGGAGACCCAUGGAAGUUGAUGCUGCAGCUCAAGUCCAAAGGCAAUCUGCUGGCAGAAUCCUCUCUUCUGUUUACUCAGUGUGUUUUUACUUAAGAAACUGAUUGGAUGAGCCCCACCCACAUUAUGGAGGGUAAUUUACUUUACUCAAAGUUUACUUAUUUAAAUGUUAAUCUCGUUUAAAAAAUACCUUCAAAGCAACAUCCAGACUGGUGUUUAACCAAGUAUCUGGGUCCUAUGACCUUGCUAAAUUGACACAUAAAAUUAACCAUUACACCAACCAUUAAGCUACCCCAGCUAACACCAACUGGAACAGCAACAAGCUGCUCCACCAAGUAUGCCCAAAUUGUAGAAUUGUGAGCAUAAUAAAUAUUGUAAUUUUAAUCCACUAGCUUUCAGGAUAAUUUGUUAUUCAGCAUUAGUAGCUAGAAGUUAUAUUUGUAAACCAUAGUCUAUUUGUAUAUACAUUUGUUGUUUCAUUCCUUUUUUUUGAGAUGUUUCAGUGGGCUUUAGCCCAUUUAUUUGAUCAUCCUAAUAGCCUCAGAAGAAAAACACAGCUUUAAUUCUUAUCAAACUCUAUGAUAUAUUACCAUCAGUCCGCUUUCACAGAUAAGGAAAUUUAUUGGAAAGGUGAGAUGAUUUGCUUAUGGUCACAAAGUUGGAGAAGUGGUAUAGCUAGAAUUUGAACCUCCCUUUUCUGAAUCCACAAUGUAUAACUAUUCCAUUACACCAUGUGGCUGUGCAAAGCCAUUCUAAGAAAGACUGCCUGCAUGUCCUAUAAACUUCCAUGUACAAAAAUCAAGGACUUGCCUUGAACCCUUGAACUGGGCCAAACUGUACACUGCCAACCAUAACAUCCUGGAAAAUAUUGAUGUUGUCCCAUAGAUCCCAUAUACUUUGUUCAUUCCUUUUCAUUUCUUUUUUCUUUUUUCUCCUCUGACUAUAUUUUCAAAUAGUCUGUCUUCAAGCUCACUGAUUCUUCUGUUCGAUCAAUUCUGCUGUUGAUGCUUUCUAUUGCAUUUUUCAUUUCAUCUAUUGUAAUUUGUAGUUCCAGGAUUUCUGUUUAAUUUUUGUGUUUAUUGUUUCAAUCUCUUUGUUAAACUUCACUGAUACAUUUCUGAAUGGAUUCUCAAUGUUUUCUUGAAGUUCAUUGAACUUCCUUAAAACAGCUAUUUUGAAUUUUUUGUCAGAGAAUUACACAUCUCCAUCACUUUAGGGUCAAUCUCUGGCACCUUAUUUUGUCUGUUUGGUGAGGUCAUAUUUCCCUGAAUGCUCUUGAUGCCUAUGUAGAUGCAAUUAUGUCUGCACAUUGAAGUAUUAGGUAUUUAUUUCAGUCUUCAC
rnacentral:lncRNA from 1 species